AGUGAACGCUGGCGGCAUGCUUUACACAUGCAAGUCGAACGGCAGCGCGGGCUUCGGCCGGGCUGCGGGUGGCGAACGGGUGGGUAAUGCAUCGGAACAUGCCCAGUUGUUGGUUAUAGGCGGGCGAAAGCCGGAUUAAUACCGCAUAAGACCAGAGGGUGAAAGCGGGGGAGCGGAAGACCUCGCGCUAUUGGGGGGGCCGAUGUCGGAUUAGCUAGUUGGUGGGGUAAAGGCUUACCAAGGCGACGAUCCGUAGCUGGUCUGAGAGGACGACCAGCCACACUGGGACUGAGACACGGCCCAGACUCCUACGGGAGGCAGCAGUGGGGAAUAUUGGACAAUGGGGGCAACCCUGAUCCAGCCAUGCCGCGUGCGGGAAGAAGGCCUUCGGGUUGUAAACCGCUUUUGUUCGGGAAGAAAUGCUCUGGGCUAAUACCCCGGGGGGAUGACGGUACCGGAAGAAUAAGCACCGGCUAACUACGUG
rnacentral:rRNA from 1 species